rnacentral:lncRNA from 1 species
GGACUCUACAGGAUUUGCCUGAGGGUUCUAAAAUCCCUUUCAGAAUGGAUAAGUAUACAAUAUCCUUUGUUGGGACCUCAGCAACAGACUUUGCGACCGAGUGGAAUCAUUAUGCGCAAAUUUUGUCCGAUGAACUAUCACACAUGGGAAUCGGUACCGGAAGAUGCGAAAACCUUGAUGUAUGAGAAAUUAGAAGGAAAAUUCGAGUUGUUGUGAACAAAUACCAUUUUUAU